AGUGAACGCUGGCGGUAGGCCUAACACAUGCAAGUCGAACGGCGGCACAGUAAGAGCUUGCUCUUACGGGUGGCGAGUGGCGGACGGGUGAGGAAUACAUCGGAAUCUACUUUUUCGUGGGGGAUAACGUAGGGAAACUUACGCUAAUACCGCAUACGACCUACGGGUGAAAGCAGGGGAUCUUCGGACCUUGCGCGAUUGAAUGAGCCGAUGUCGGAUUAGCUAGUUGGCGGGGUAAAGGCCCACCAAGGCGACGAUCCGUAGCUGGUCUGAGAGGAUGAUCAGCCACACUGGAACUGAGACACGGUCCAGACUCCUACGGGAGACAGCAGUGGGGAAUAUUGGACAAUGGGCGCAAGCCUGAUCCAGCCAUACCGCGUGGGUGAAGAAGGCCUUCGGGUUGUAAAGCCCUUUUGUUGGGAAAGAAAAGCAGCAGGUUAAUACCCCGCUGUUCUGACGGUACCCAAAGAAUAAGCACCGGCUAACUUCGUG
rnacentral:rRNA from 1 species